GCAGCCGCGGUUUGGGGCGUCGGCUCACGUGGGGCCGGCUGCGCGUCUUCCAGGCUGUUCGCGCGCUAGUCGCCGCUGAGGGGCCGGCGAUGCGCGAGGAGUUCCGGCGAGGAGGGUUGGUCAGUGGACGUGGCCGAGGCCUGCGGUUUCCGCGUGUGGGAGCUGCAAGGCUGAGAGGCCGCCCGCGACCCUCGGGAAUCGUAGACGAGGUCUCACUAUGUUGGCCAGGUUGGUCUCGAAUUCCUGGCCACAAGCAGUUCUCCAGUCUGGGCCUCCCAAAGCGCUAGGAUUACAGGAACAGAAUUGCCAUUGGGCUCAGGGAGAGAUUACACUUCUUGUCUGCUUUGUUGCUAGUGUGGCCUUGUGGCCAAGCGCAGAACGUGUCCAGUGAUGAUGGUGCAACUUCUAGGUCGUCCCCAGCAUGGAAGAUGAGCCCUGGGCAUGGAAGAUGAGACCUGGUCCUGCAGCGGUGCUCUUUCCUCUUCUCACAAGCUGGAAUGUGAAUGUCCUCCCACCCAGCUUUGACCAUGGGGAGAAGAUAGUGCUCUGCAGUCUGGCAGAGCAACAAGGUGGAAAGGGCCUGGGUCCUUGAGUGACAUCAUGAGCCCUCUCACUGUCCUGGACCUUGGGACUGUUAUAUGAUAAGGACUUUCUGUGAGUCACUGUCUUUUAGAGUCUCUCUGUUUUAGCUGCCUGGACUUUAUCCUGAAUAAUAUGGCUGUUAUCAUGAGUAUAGUGUUAACUAUGAGCCUCAUCUAAGUAAUUUCUACUCUGCCUUUGACCACUAAACUCAUGUUGGACAAGAGUCACUUAGCAUUAUUUUUUCCUCAAUGAAGAGGUUAAGAUGGAGGGAGCAGGAAAAAUUGAGGCCUGUGUUUUACCAGAAGGUGAAGGGCUGUCUUUGCCUUUCCUACAUUCAUGAAGAAUAAUUCUAGACAAAAACAUUAAGCUCAUAUCAAACCAUCUGCUUUGUGAAGUCAUGGGCUUUGCUAGAACUUUCUGUGACAUGACAUUUAUUAACCCGAGUCUACCUGGAAGUUAGAGCUGAGGAAGUUUUCCUAGAGUGGAAAAAGUCCAAUGCACUUGUAAAAGUCAGACCAAGCUCAGCUCAGAUUCCAGUUUUAUUAGAGGUAUGUCACCUUCCUGAGCCCUUAUUAUUUCCCCAUCUGUGAAACGAGGACACUGCUCUCUCUGUCUAAGCGUUGCUGGGAAGAUCACACACCACUGAGACAGAAGGUGGGGCUAGCGCAGUUCUGGGCAUUUUGUAUACCCCCAGCAAAUACUGAUUUAUUUCCUUCUUUUUCCUUGCUCAGAAAAAAAUGGAGAAGCCUUUAUUU